UACGUAGGGUGCGAGCGUUGUCCGGAAUUAUUGGGCGUAAAGAGCUCGUAGGCGGUUUGUCACGUCUGCUGUGAAAACUGGAGGCUCAACCUCCAGCCUGCAGUGGGUACGGGCAGACUAGAGUGCGGUAGGGGAGAUUGGAAUUCCUGGUGUAGCGGUGAAAUGCGCAGAUAUCAGGAAGAACACCCGUGGCGAAGGCGGCUCUCUGGAACGCAACUGACGCUGAGACGCGAAAGCGUGGGGAGCAAACAGG
rnacentral:rRNA from 1 species